GGGUUUCUGUUGAGUGUGGGUUUGGUGGUGUGUUGGGUGUGUGCUGGGCUGUUAUCAGGGGAUGGUUGGGUUGUUAUCAGUCACAGUGUUGGGCUGUUAUCAGUCCAACUAUUGGGCUGUUAUCAAUGAAGAUGUGGGCUGUUAUCAGUCCAGGUGUUGGGCUGUUAUCAGUCACAGUGUUGGGCUGUUAUCAGUCCAGGGGUUGGGCUGUUAUCAGUCACAGUGUUGAGCUGUUAUCAGGGGAUGGUUAGGCUGUUUUCAGUCCAGGUGUUGGACUGUUAUCAAUCACAGUGUUGGGCUGUUAUCAGUCCAGGGGUUGGGCUGUUAUCAGUCACAGUGUUGAGCUGUUAUCAGUCCAACUAUUGGACUGUUAUCAGUCAAGAUGUGGGCUGUUAUCAGGGGAUGGUUAGGAUGUUAUCAGUCCAGGUGUUGGACUGUUAUCAGUCACAGUGUUGGGCUGUUAUCAGUCCAACUAUUGGACUGUUAUCAGUCAAGAUGUGGGCUGUUAUCAGGGGAUGGUUAGGCUGUUAUCAGUCCAGGUGUUGGACUGUUAUCAGUCACAGUGUUAGGCUGUUAUCAGUCCAGGGGUUGGGCUGUUAUCAGUCACAGUGUUGAGCUGUUAUCAGUCCAGGUGUUGGACUGUUAUCAGUCACAGUGUUGGGCUGUUAUCAGUCCAGGGGUUGGGCUGUUAUCAGUCACAGUGUUGAGCUGUUACCAGGGGAUGGUUAGGCUGUUAUCAGUCCAAAUAUUGGGGCUGUUAUCAAUGAAGAUGUGGGCUGUUAUCAGUCACAAGUGUUGGGCUGUUAUCAGUCCAGGUGUUGGGCUGUUAUCAGGGAAUGGUUGGGCUGUUGUCAGUCCAGGGGUUGUAGGGCUGUUUUUGGGGUGUUAUUGGGGUGUUAUAGGGCUGUUAUUGGGGUGUUGUCAGGGUGUUAUUGGGGUGUUCUCUGGCUGUUUUUGGGGUGCUACAGGGCUGUUUUUGGGGUGUUGUAGGGCUGUUAUCGGGGUGUUUUUGGGGUGCUGUAGGGCUGUUUUUGGGGUGUUAUUGGGGUGCUGUAGGGCUGUUAUCAGGCUGUUAUCAGGGUGUUUUUGGGGUGUUGUAGGGCUAUUAUCGAGCUGUUAUCAGGCUGUUUUUGGGGUGUUGUAGGGCUGUUUUUGGGGUGUUAUUGGGGUGAUGUAGGGCUGUUAUCAGGUUGUUUUUGGGUUGCUGUAGGGCUGUUUUUGGGGUGUUUUUGGGGUGCUGUAGGGCUGUUAUCGGGCUGUUUUUGGGGUGCUGUAGGGCUGUUUUUGGGGUGUUUUUGGGGUGUUUUUGGGGUGCUGCAGGGCUGUUUUUGGGGUGUUUUUGGGGUGCUGUAGGGUUGUUAUCGGGCUGUUUUUGGGGUGCUGCAGGACUGUUUUUGGGGUGUUAUUGGGGUGCUGUAGGGCUGUUUUUGGGCUGUUUUUGGGGUGCUGCAGGGCUGUUAUUGGGGUGCUGCAGGGCUGUUAUCGGGGUGUUUUUGGGGUGCUGCAGGGCUGUUUUUGGGGUGUUUUUGGGGUGCUGUAGGUCUGUUUUUGGGGUGUUCUUGGGGUGCUGCAGGGCUGUUAUCAGGCUGUUUUUGGGGUGCUGCAGGGCUGUUUUUGGGGUGUUUUUGGGGUGUUAUAGGGCUGUUUUUGGGGUGUUAUAGGGCUGUUUUUGGGGUGUUGUAGGGCUGUUUUUGGGGUGUUGCGGUGCCGUUCCCACACUCACCCUCCACCAGGCGGCCGUCGUCGGUGCGACACACGCAGCUGUCUGUGGACAGGAGAUCCUCCACCUGCAUCUGUGGGGCCGGGGUGCGUCGG
ensembl:lncRNA